ensembl:lncRNA
GCCCCGGGCGGGCUCCACACCCACCUGCUUCCCUCGGCGGCUCCGGCUCCACUGAGCCGGAGGGUCCGCGGCCCCGCGGGCGCCGCGCACGGGGCGGCGGGGAAAGCCCGGGGCGCCCCGGCCAGGAUGCGCUUGGAGGCUUCGCGGGAUUCCCUGGACCCCUCUGUUUUCGGCCGCGGAGUUAUCCCCCGGCCCUCCCCACACACCCCUGACCCUGGCCCGCUGCUCGACCCCGGGGGACUGGGGAGAGGAGAGCCAGCUCCUGAGUGAUGACCCGGAGUAUCCCCAGGGAAGGAGCGCGCGGGUAACGAGGAGCGCAGAGAGGAUCCGACUUUCCUCCGAGCUCCUCCAGCUCUAUUUGGGGGCCGUCGCCAGCUCCAUAAUCCCCGCUUUCCCAGAGAACUGUGCCAAGUUCCUCCUUGGAGAGGCAGCCAGAUGGACACCCAGAACUUUCCGUAUCUUCGUGUCGAGGAUGAAAAUCUGGUUAAAACAAAUGUAGACGUUGACAAGCACAAUCUACAAAAAGGAGAGAAAAGGAAAAGAAAUAACCUAUUGGUGGUCCUCAAAGGGAUGGAGGCUCUCUCUUUCUGAAGGAAAAGAUGACCUCUAACUUCAGGUUCACACAGUCCUCAUAGUUCACAAUCUCAAAGGAAGUGGAAGAACCUCUGCCCUGGGAGGGCUCCCAUGUCAUGUGCUCCUGAUUUCUAACUACCUCAGGAAUGGAGUUACCUGGACCACGUGAUCACUCCUGGGCAGGGCAGAGUUGCCUCCAUUACAAUCACAACAAAAAG